UAUCCGAAGGCGCUCGAGAGAACUCUGGCCAAGGAACUCGGCAAAAUAACCCCGUAACUUCGGAAGAAGGGGUGCUCUGUUAGCGUGCGAGGUUUAACAUUUCAAGCGCGAGAGAGCCGCAGUGAAUUGGUGGUGGCGACUGUUUACUAAAAACAUAGGUCUGUGCGAAGUCGCAAGACGACGUAUACGGACUGACGCCUGCCCGGUGCCGGAAGGUUAAGAGGAGAGGUCAGCGCAAGCGAAGCCUUGAAUCGAAGCCCCGGUAAACGGCGGCCGUAACUAUAACGGUCCUAAGGUAGCGAAAUUCCUUGUCGGGUAAGUUCCGACCUGCACGAAUGGCGUAACGAUCUCCACACUGUCUCGGCCAGAGACUCGGUGAAAUUGAAGUCGCGGUGAAAAUGCCGUGUACCCGCAGAAAGACGGGAAGACCCUGUGCACCUUUACUAUAGCUUGACAUUGGAUUUUGGCCCUACAUGUGUAGGAUAGGUGGGAGGCUGUGAACCCUGUACGCCAGUAUGGGGGGAGCCACUGUUGAAAUACCACCCUUGUAUGUCUAAGGUCCUAACUUCACGCAGUUAUCCUGCUGAAAGACAGUGUCUGGUGGGUAGUUUGACUGGGGCGGUCGCCUCCUAAAAUGUAACGGAGGCAUGCAAAGGUUCCCUCAGGCUGUUCGGAAACCAGCCUUCGAGUGCAAACGCAUAAGGGAGCUUGACUGCAAGAGAGACAUCUCGAGCAGAGACGAAAGUCGGCGUUAGUGAUCCGGUGGUCCCGUAUGGAAGGGCCAUCGCUCAUUGGAUAAAAGGUACGCCGGGGAUAACAGGCUGAUCGCAUCCAAGAGUUCAUAUCGACGAUGCGGUUUGGCACCUCGAUGUCGGCUCAUCACAUCCUGGGGCUGAAGCAGGUCCCAAGGGUACGGCUGUUCGCCGUUUAAAGUGGUACGCGAGCUGGGUUUAAAACGUCGUGAGACAGUUUGGUCCCUAUCUUCUGUGGGCGUAGGAGCAUUGAAAGGGCCUGUCCCUAGUACGAGAGGACCGGGAUGGACACACCCCUGGUGAACCUGUUGUCGCGCCAGCGGCACAGCAGGGUAGCUAUGUGUGGAAGGGAUAACCGCUGAAAGCAUCUAAGCGGGAAGCCUGCCUUAAGAUAAGUGCUCCCUGACGCAAGUCCUGAAGGGCCCAGGUAGACGACCUGGUCGAUAGGUCGGAGGUGUAAGCGCCGCGAGGCGUUCAGCUGACCGAUACUAAUAGCCCGUGAGGCUUGUUU
rnacentral:rRNA from 1 species